GAUGAACGCUGGCGGCGUGCCUAACACAUGCAAGUCGAACGGAGAUUACGGACGGAAGUUUUCGGAUGGAAGACUGUAAUUCUUAGUGGCGGACGGGUGAGUAACGCGUGGGCAACCUGCCCUAUACAGGGGGAUAGCAGCUGGAAACGGCUGGUAAGACCGCAUAAGUCGGUUAAAUCGCAUGAUUUGAUCGGGAAAUGAGCAAUCAGGUAUAGGAUGGGCCCGCGUCCGAUUAGCCAGUUGGCAGGGUAAAAGCCUACCAAAGCGACGAUCGGUAGCCGGGCUGAGAGGUCGGACGGCCACAUUGGGACUGAGACACGGCCCAAACUCCUACGGGAAGCAGCAGUGGGGGAUAUUGCACAAUGGAGGAAACUCUGAUGCAGCGACGCCGCGUGAGUGAAGAAGCAUUUCGGUAUGUAAAGCUCUAUCAGCAGGGAAGAUGAUGACGGUACCUGACUAAGAAGCCCCGGCUAACUACGUG
rnacentral:rRNA from 1 species